rnacentral:rRNA from 1 species
AGAGUUUGAUCCUGGCUCAGGACAAACGCUGGCGGCGUGCCUAACACAUGCAAGUCGAACGCUCUCUCAGCAAUGGGAGGGAGUGGCGGACGGGUGAGUAACACAUGGGAAUCGACCCACACGUGAGGAAUACCACCGGGAAACCGGUGACAAUACCGCAUACGCUCGGACAACCGAGCAAAGCUCUUUUUCGGAAGGGCGCGCGUGGACGAGCCUGUGUCUGAUUAGUUCGUUGGUGGGGUAAUGGCCCACCAAGGCAACGACGGGUAGCUGGUCUGAGAGGACGAUCAGCCACACUGGGACUGAGACACGGCCCAGACUCCUACGGGAGGCAGCAGUGGGGAAUCUUGCGCAAUGGGCGAAGGCCUGACGCAGCAACGCCGCGUGAGGGAUGACGGUCUUCGGAUUGUAAACCUCUUUCAAGCAGGGACGAUAAUGACGGUACCUGCAGAAGAAGCUCCGGCCAACUACGUGCCAGCAGCCGCGGUAAUACGUAGGGAGCAAGCGUUGUCCGGAAUCAUUGGGCGUAAAGAGCUCGUAGGCGGUUUGGUAAGUCGGAUGUGAAACCUCCAGGCUCAACCUGGAGCCGCCAUCCGAUACUGCCAUGACUUGAGUCCGGUAGGGGCCCACGGAACUCCUGGUGUAGCGGUGAAAUGCGCAGAUAUCAGGAAGAACACCGGUGGCGAAGGCGGUGGGCUGGGCCGGUACUGACGCUGAGGAGCGAAAGCCAGGGGAGCGAACGGAAUUAGAUACUCCGGUAGUCCUGGCCCUAAACGAUGGCAACUAGGUGUGGGGGGUAUCGACCCCCUCCGUGCCGGAGCAUACGCGAUAAGUUGCCCGCCUGGGGAGUACGGCCGCAAGGCUAAAACUCAAAGGAAUUGACGG